ensembl:lncRNA
CAACCAUAGCAGUUUUCGAGAAGAUGAAGAAGGAGUUUGAGUUCAACAUAUCGGCCCCUAUGCACUUUGACAUGAAUGUGAACAGCAGUCAGACGGUGCAACAGGUGUCAUAUGAUGGAGGAAGUGUCGGUGGAGCUGGGACGUUUCUAGGACGUGAUGGGUCUAAUAGCCUACAUAGGCCUCUUCCUUCUGCUGCUAAUGUACCUACGUCUCAGUGUACCUGACGGCCAGGGAGCAGUGGACGGCUGCCCUCAGCGCAGUGUCCAUUCUCAGGCACAUAGCCAUAGGAUGCCUGGGGUGGCGCUGGACCUGGUGGUCUUCUGGAUGUUUGACCUGGUGCACUACCAAGCCCAGGGGGACAUCGUGGCCAGAGCACCCCAUCGUAUUGGCAGUGGAAGUAAAUGGCACAGGCAAUGCCCUGGACAUCUUCAAGGACAUAGCAGCUGCCUUCGCCAUUCUGCAGAAGGGCAGCAUCACUGUUCUCAGCAAGAAUUGUCUGAUGAAGCCUUCAGAGCCAGACCACUCAGGAUACAUGCUCAUAGCCUCCCAGGUGGGUCCUACCUGGCUGAAAUUAUGGGGGUGUCCUCUGUCUCUUGCAUGGCCUGUGGAAGGGGAGGAGAGGGACAGGAUGACCCCAGCAUGGUCACAUGCAUCACCCCUCAGUGUAAAGGUACAGCAGCCGAACUCAGGCCUUUAAGGUUGUCUUUGUUUGGGGAUUUUUGUUUUUGUUUACAGGACCCCCUUGAAAAGUAGAUAGAUCUGUUUCUUCUACAAGCUCAUAAAAGUUACCUGCCUUUCAUGUACCGCUUUUUUUUGUGUCAUAAAAUCUUACCUUUUUUCCUUGUAAAAUCAAAUGGAGUUUGACCUUACUGUGUUGUGUGUACAGUGAGGGAGUUGACUCUGUUAAAUUGUUGACUCAGCCUAUAAGGAUAAGAAUUCAGCUAACACCUUUGGUGAAGCACAACGAGGGGUGUUUCUCAAAGCCAGAUUUGCAACUCUUUGCAAUCACUUAUUACUUGUUACUUGUUGUUUCAGAAUGUUAACCCAUGUUUGCAGUCCAUAUCUUUUGAUACUAUUUUGUCAAAUAGCCCCUGGUCUUGAUGAGUUUUAUGUUCCUCUUGGCAAUCUGACUUUUCUGUUCCAUUCAACUGCUCCACUGUGGUUUGUUGCACUCUAAUCCGUGUGCUGUUUUAACGUUACACAGGGGUAUACUGUAAGCAGUGCUUACAGAGUAUGGGCCAGGUGUGUGCAGCUUGCAUGGGACCCCUGACCUUUCAGGAGGACUGUGAGAAAGAGCUGGGAGGCAUCCACAGGGACACAUUACUCAUGAUGACCACGCGUUAGACUGUUAAACCUGUUAGACUCUAGCUGCCCACUUAACUAUCGUGUUACACUUUGUUUGGUUACACUUAAAAUACAGUAAGUUACUCACUUGCCCCAAUUGCAUUUUGUCACUAGAAACAAUUUGUAACGUAGUAACUAAACAUAUAACUAAUGUGGAAUAAUAAUGAAUUAAUGAACUAGAAUGUGUCUCUUAGUCAUACAGAAGAGCAGUUGUGUGUUGUAUGUUCCUGUAUGUUCCAGAGACUCCAGUGAUGAUGAGCAGCUGGGCCUGUGGACCGCCGCGCUAACUUGCCCCCACAUCCCCCACAGGGGCACCAGGAGACUGAUGAAGAGGGGGAUCGCCAUGGCAACGUGGCGAAGGCCCUCAGAGAGCAGGGUGCAGCGUGGGGCCUUCAGCAGUAUAGGGCUGGUGGAAGUAGACAAUGGGGACAUAUAUAUAUUUUUUUAAUAACUUUAUUUAACGAGGCAAGUCAGUUAAGAACACAUUCUUAUUUUCAAUCACGGCCUAGGAACGGUGGGUUAACUGCCUUUUUCAGGGGCAGAACCACAGAUUAUUACCUUGUUUCAGUCACUAGUCCAACGCUCUAACCACCUGCCUCACGAGGAGCCUGCCUGUUACGCGAAUGCAGUAAGAAGCCAAG